GAGAGUAGUAUCAGGCAUGGUGGUAUGUGCCUGCCAUUCUUCUUGAGAAGCUGAGGCAGGAGGACUGCCAGAAGUUCCGAGUCAUCCUGGGCUACAUGGUGAGACCUUGUCUCAAAACUCCAAAUGAGUCAGAAGUGGUGGAGCAGGCCUGCCUUGUCAGUACCUGGGAGAUCAGGAAUUCAAGGUCAUCCUUGGCUACAGAGAGAGUAUAUGGCCAGCCUGGGCUACAUGAGAUACUGCCUAAAAACUAAAAUAAUUCAAAUAAAAUGUUUUUGAGCAAACAUAGCUAAAAAGCUGAGAGAAAUGCCUGGCGUGGUGGUCCACACAUUCAGGGAGGCAGAAGAAGGCAGAUCUCUGUGAGCCAGCCUGGGCUACAGAGAGAGCCCCUGUCCCAAACUACAGAAUGAGGGAGCUGCAGACUCCUAUCAGUGCUGAGCUCUGGUGUCAGGAGAGAAUGAAAGAAAGGGGUGGAUUUGAUUACUUGGUGGCAGACCCCUCAAUUCUGACUGAUGGGUGUGAUUACCCCUGUGCUCCCCUCCCCCCUUCCUGCACAGGAUUCUCUCCAUGCUUGGAAGCCCAGGUUACUGGAAUUCCUGUCCAGCUAGCACUCAGGCCGGGUGACCUCUCUUUCUACCCUGUAACUCAUUAACUCUCAGGGACCUUGACCCCUGUACCAUCUAUAAGGCUGUGACAACAGCUUCUUUCCUGAGCUCUCUGUGGUGCUUGCAGUACCCCAGAUGGCACAAAAAGGACAGGGGCGGGGUCAGAGUCCAGCCACUGGGAACCCCCCACAUCCCGCCUCUGCAGGUCUAAGCCUGGUCUCCAGAGACAGUGAACCACACCUUGCAGACAGAACCCUCAGGCAGCUACAGGGUGUGUUUGAGUGUCCAGUAGCUGAAACCCUGACACCCCCAUGAAAGGCCUCAUAUUGAUGUGCACUACCCCGAGAGUGAGUUACACAUGCUGAUGUGAUCAGUUUCGACUUCACAGCAUACUUUUCGAUUCUAUCUGGGCUAAAAUUUUAAAGUAGUUUCCCCAACCGCCUAUUGAAGUUAACUCCAGGAAGAUGCUACCACGUACCCCCUCUUCCCAGGAGGUCCUAUGGUUGUUACCUAGGGACCCCCGGAAUUUAAAGGGCCAGGAGGAGUCAGGGGUCCCGGGAGAUGGAGUCCCGCCCCCUAAACAAGGCUAAUCUAUUGCGAGCACCGGGUGGGGGUGCCCGGGACGAGACCACUCACGGCCUGCAGUGGGGGGUGCGAAAGCUCUGUUUAAAGGAGCUAGUGGGGAGUAGGGCGAGGCCAAGCCUAAGAGGCUCACUGUGAGCGCCAGCCGGUGGAUGCGACCUGAGCAGCCGCUCAGCAUCAGCACCAGCAACGACAAGCGUCCCCAUCCGCACUGCGCGGGGCUCCCACCGUCGAGCCCCCUCCUCUCGCUCACUGCCAUCUCCGGGGCUACGAUUGCCCCACGACACCGCCUCUGACGCCUGAUAAGAUCCACCCACCUUUCAGCCAAUCAUCGCACGAUGUGGCCGGGUCAACCAAUUACCAACUGAGACUUUUUUGAUGGACAGAAGGCCUUCCAAAUGGGCGUGCUUAGUCCUUCCAGCCCCUAUUUCAUUCUCUCCAAUCCCUAGACAGAUCGCUCCGGAUGCAAUUUGAUGAACAGGACGACUCACCAAUGAUCUAGGAACUCAUAUCCGUUCCUUAAAGCGGAAUUCCUUCUUCAACUCUUAACGGCCCAAGACUACAUUACCCAGAACCCAGAGAAAGCAGAUUCAGGCAACAAGGCACGCAAAACUACAUUUCCCAGUAUGCCCAGGGACGCACUUUCGUCCUCCUCAUUCCCCACCACACCCCCACCCCCAACCAAAGGUGGCACUCGGCCAGAAGUAGAGCGUUUGGUAAACAUAAGCAUCUGUUGAGGCUUGCCCUGUUCCAACUUUCCUGGGCCACUGAGAAGCCUAAAAUUCUUGACCCUAUACUGACCUCUGAUCCCGGGUCCACUGUAGGUCCCACCUGCAAGACUCCGCCCCAGGCUUAACCCCCUUGUAGAAGCUGAGUCCUAACUUCAAACUGAAACCCUGACCGCUCUCCAUUCCGAUCCUAGGCACCUCAUCCCAUUUUACACACCGAGUCCUCAUCAUCUACUGAGCCCCCAAAUCUGGAAGAGUCCCAGCUUCUGGACCCCAGUUGUAAAGUCUUUAACUCUUAACUAAAUUGCUGACUCUGGCGCUAAA